rnacentral:tRNA from 1 species
UUUAGAAAAUCCUAAGUAGGAAUUAUCUUGAUAGGGUGAAAAUUGUAGUGUUAAUCUGUUUCUAAAG